UUUUCAAAUUCAAAUUCAAAUUUAUUUCACACGUUUACAAAAGAUAUAGUUAGACAUUAAUUACAUCACAAAAAAAUCAUAAUGGAAGGGGAAAAAAAGGGAGUUAAUUAUGGUAUUGUAUCGUGUACAGUGGCCAAAGUAGCUGCGAAGCUUUCGAGUUGGCCACCGUUUACAAAAUUGUUGUUUUGUGACUGUUUACAUAAUUGAGAAAAAAGAACAUGACGUG